rnacentral:tRNA from 1 species
GCCGGCGUGGUGGAAUUGGUAGACACGCAGGACUUAAAAUCCUGUGGCCGUAAGGUCGUAUCGGUUCAAGUCCGAUCGCCGGUA